rnacentral:lncRNA from 7 species
AGCUUUGUCCUUCUGCUGCUGGAUGCCGCCCUUUGUCCUCUGUUUUGUUAUUGUGCCAGACUGGAGGUGGGGAAGAUCAGCACCAGUUAUGCCAGCUAAGAAAAGGGAAGGGCUUCUGCUAGCAUUGCCCCAGUGACUCUUAUAAUGGCUUGCAGCCAAAGUGCCCUGACUGCUUGAUGCGCGUGCCUGUCCUUUAGUGUUUGCUGAGGGGUUCAAGAGUUGCAGGGCUGUGGGUUAUACUGAUGCAUGGAUCUUAGACCAUGUGGUGUUAAGGGAACAGCACUGAAAUAACAGAAACAGCAUCUUUCCUCCAAGAGCGUGUAUGUUGAUACUUAUCCUGGAGGAAGAACCUUCUGUGAUGAGUUUGAAAGCCUCCAAGCCAUGGACAAACAAGCUUAGGUGGGAGCUGAUCAUACGGUCACAGUGGGAGCAGAGAUUUGUGGUGUUGGCAAGGACCUGUACGGCUCAGUGCUCCCAGGGGAAAAUGCAGCAGUGCUGCAGGGAGGGGAGAUGUCACUGUGCAGUCAGUGUAAAUCACAGCCCCUCUGCAGCAGUGCCUUCCCUCAUCCCACCAGGAUUAAGGACCUGGAACAGGUGCUAGCAUUGCUGCUGAAAUGCGUGAUUGAAAGCAGGUAGUGCUUACUGCUCUUUAUUUCUCCAAACCCAACCUAAUUAGCACAGCUGGAGGGAGGAAUGUGCUGCGUUCCUUCUGAAAAGCAGCAGCAGUGUUGUUUGCUUUGAGGAUCAAUCCGUAGUAACUGGAUUAACGUGCAGCUUGUACGGAUGUCAGAAUUCCUAGAAAUAAUGAAAUUAAAGACCUCAAAAGUGUUUUUAGUCAACGUCCUUAUAUAUCACGUUCAGAUGAAAUGCU